CAACUUUCCAAAAUUCAGACUCUC
rnacentral:siRNA from 1 species